UCAGGCACCCUGACCCUAUUUGCUUCAUCCUCUCUGAUUGUCUUUUCUCAAGAUUUGCCUGCAGGAUGCAGAAAAGGCCAAUGGAUGGGAUGAUUGGAAAAUAACUCAUGGAUGAGAAAACUAAAGAGGAUUCUGAAAGGAUCUCUUUGCCUAUUAUCUGCUUUCAGAGAAAGUCACACAAAACUGUUGAAAAGUUAUCCUAUUCGUAAAGAUCUCUAGAGAGGGAGUGCCUACAAACGUUUCUAGUAAUUUCCCUUGGUGCAUACGAAGACUGCUCUUGAUGUUCAAAGAAGACUUCACUGAUGGCUAUGAUUCUUCUGUAUAAAAAAAAUAGAAUGGUUUUAUUUUUGAAAGCUGCUUGAUACCCAAUGCUGCCUGAAAGAGUCUAUCACGAAAGUGGCCAUGUGUUAGUUAACUUCUCUAGUUCAGCUUCGGACCACUGAAGAUUCAAAGCCAGCGUUGAGUCCUCCUAGCAGGGAUGUUGUUUCACAUGUGACCUCGGUUCCAGCCCAGUUCUUCACUCUGGUCCUCUUAUCAACCUGCCAUGCUACUGGCUUAAACCCAGAUGGUCCUUGUAAGGUGGCCGCUCUGCUGGACAUAGCUGGUUGUUCCUGAUGGUUACUACUUUGGAGCUACAAUUCUUCCUUUGGUCAUCUGUCCCAGGUGUAGAACAACAUUAUUUGUGUAAUUCUCUAUAGCACUGGCUGUAACUUUCAUCAAGAUUAUCAAAGAUUUGGGAUUCUUUGCUCUAUGUUUGUCCUUGAAGUCUGCAAACCAUGGAGCUUUCACAAAGCACACCCCAUAUAGACCCUGGUUUUCUUCCUGUGGUGGCCACAGUUCUCCGCCCAAGUGUCCUGGGGCCCAAAAUUCCCUAGGCCAAAGGAGAGAAAGAUAUUAACCCUCACGCCAAUCUCGGGUCUACAUAAUCCAACCCCAAACCUGCUUUUUUUCUAGGUAAUUAUCUUGUGAGAUUCAAGAACAAUUACGUCACUAUGUUACGACCUAAUAUCAAUAAUUUCCUGAAGUGUGGGUUUUUCAGUUUUAGGAAAUGCUAAGUAAAGGACCUUCUAUCAGGAAAAGUUCUUGCAGGAACUAACAGAACACAACUGGUUAGCUUAAACAGAAAAGAAAUUUGUUGGAAGGAGUGUAGGUGGCUCCCCAAAUCAGGCUUAGAAAACAGACAGUGACCUGUAGCGAUUAGGCUAAAGGAACAGCUGAGGUCCAGCUGCAGCUGAGAUCUGGCUAAGAAGGUGCCCUUGGAACAACCACCUCUGGACACUUGGUGUCAGCCAUCACUGCCAGACUCUCUGUUCCUUUUACCUUUAGAUCUGAAACUCGUGCCGUAUAGUAGAAAUUUCCACGACAAUGAAACUGUGUCUUUAUUACUCAACAACUAGCCGCUAGCCACAUGUGGCUAUUAAGCAUUUGAAAUGUGUCUGAAAAACUAAAUUUUUAAUCUCAUUUAAGUUUAAUUAAAAUGAACUUAAAUAGCCGCACGGGAUUAUUAGUUACCAUAUUGGACGGCACAGCUCUAAUCUCUCAGAGCCUAUUAUCUUGGGACUGUCAGCUUGAAUUUUCCCAGGAGUCACUCUUCCAGGUGUAAAAAGUGUUACCCAUACCUCUUUCCCUGGCUCCUAAAUCUCUGUAUUUAGCCUAUGUGAGAAAUGACACGAUACAGGUCAGUGGGUCGGUAUAGAGAGUACCCUCCCAAAAAGCAUUGUUCCUCAACCACCAGCCUAGGAUGGCUCAAUGGGUCCUUCCAUCAUCUGUCAAGGCCAGCAGCACCAGUGAUGGGGGUAAUGAUAAGAGUAGUGGAUUGAUGGGGCGCCUGGGUGGCUCAGUCGUUAAGCGUCUGCCUUCAGCUCAGGUCAUGAUCCCAGAGUCCUGGGAUCGAGCCCCGCAUCGGGCUCCCUGCUCCGCAGGAAGCCUGCUUCUCCCUCUCCCACUCCCCCUGCUUGUGUUCCCUCUCUCGCUG